rnacentral:tRNA from 1 species
GCUUGUGGCUUAGUGAUAGAGUGCUUGCCUAGCAUGUGUGAGGCACUGGGUUCGAUCCUCAGCACGGCA